rnacentral:rRNA from 1 species
AUUGAACGCUGGCGGCAUGCCUUACACAUGCCAGUCGAACGGUAACAGGUCUUCGGAUGCUGACGAGUGGCGAACGGGUGAGUAAUACAUCGGAACGUGCCCGAUCGUGGGGGAUAACGAAGCAAAAGCUUUGCUAAUACCGCAUACGAUCUACGGAUGAAAGCAGGGGACCGCAAGGCCUUGCGCGAACGGAGCGGCCGAUGGCAGAUUAGGUAGUUGGUGGGAUAAAAGCUUACCAAGCCGACGAUCUGUAGCUGGUCUGAGAGGACGACCAGCCACACUGGGACUGAGACACGGCCCAGACUCCUACGGGAGGCAGCAGUGGGGAAUUUUGGACAAUGGGCGAAAGCCUGAUCCAGUCAUGCCGCGUGCAGGAUGAAGGCCUUCGGGUUGUAAACUGCUUUUGUACGGAACGAAAAGACUCUGGUUAAUACCUGGGGUCCAUGACGGUACCGUAAGAAUAAGCACCGGCUAACUACGUG